rnacentral:tRNA from 1 species
GGGAGCAUGGUGUAACCCGGCAUCAUUGCGGGCUCCAGUUAAGGGAAUGAUUAAAAAAGGGUCACCUGAUCAAGUUUAAUGAUGAAUAACUGGAGCGAUGACCCGAACCUAGAAGUGACCCGCCGAUCUGGGUUCAAAUCCCAGUGCUCCCA